AACGCGAAGAACCUUACCUGGGUUUGACAUCCCCGGACAGCCCUAGAGAUAGGGUUUCCUCUUCGGAGGCCGGGAGACAGGUGCUGCAUGGCUGUCGUCAGCUCGUAUCGUGAGAUGUCGGGUUAAGUCCCUUAACGAGCGCAACCCUUGUCCCUAGUUGCCAUCAUUUAGUUGGGCACUCUAGGGAGACCGCCGGUGUUAAACCGGAGGAAGGUGGGGAUGACGUCAAGUCCUCAUGGCCUUUAUAUCCAGGGCUACACACGUGCUACAAUGGCAGAUACAAAGGGUUGCUAACCGGCAACGGGGAGCUAAUCUCAUAAAGUCUGUCUCAGUUCGGAUUGAAGUCUGCAACUCGACUUCAUGAAGCUGGAAUCGCUAGUAAUCGCGGAUCAGAACGCCGCGGUGAAUACGUUCCCGGGCCUUGUACACACCGCAUAC
rnacentral:rRNA from 1 species